AGCGGCGGACGGGUGAGUAACACGUGGGCAACCUGCCUGUAAGACUGGGAUAACACCGGGAAACCGGUGCUAAUACCGGAUAAUCCUUCCCCUCACAUGAGGGGAAGCUGAAAGACGGCUUCGGCUGUCACUUACAGAUGGGCCCGCGGCGCAUUAGCUAGUUGGUGGGGUAACGGCCCACCAAGGCGACGAUGCGUAGCCGACCUGAGAGGGUGAUCGGCCACACUGGGACUGAGACACGGCCCAGACUCCUACGGGAGGCAGCAGUAGGGAAUCUUCCGCAAUGGACGAAAGUCUGACGGAGCAACGCCGCGUGAGCGAAGAAGGCCUUCGGGUCGUAAAGCUCUGUUGUCAGGGAAGAACACGUACCGGAGUAACUGCCGGUACCUUGACGGUACCUGACCAGAAAGCCACGGCUAACUACGUGCCAGCAGCCGCGGUAAUACGUAGGUGGCAAGCGUUGUCCGGAAUUAUUGGGCGUAAAGCGCGCGCAGGCGGUCCUUUAAGUCUGAUGUGAAAGCCCACGGCUCAACCGUGGAGGGUCAUUGGAAACUGGGGGACUUGAGUGCAGAAGAGGAGAGCGGAAUUCCACGUGUAGCGGUGAAAUGCGUAGAGAUGUGGAGGAACACCAGUGGCGAAGGCGGCUCUCUGGUCUGUAACUGACGCUGAGGCGCGAAAGCGUGGGGAGCAAACAGGAUUAGAUACCCUGGUAGUCCACGCCGUAAACGAUGAGUGCUAAGUGUUAGAGGGUUUCCGCCCUUUAGUGCUGCAGCAAACGCAUUAAGCACUCCGCCUGGGGAGUACGGCCGCAAGGCUGAAACUCAAAGGAAUUGACGGGGGCCCGCACAAGCGGUGGAGCAUGUGGGUUUAUUUCAAGCAACGCGAAGAACCUUACCCUUGACUCCUCUGACCUCUCUGGAGACAGAGCCUUCCCCUUCGGGGACAGAGUGACAGGUGGGCAUG
rnacentral:rRNA from 1 species